rnacentral:lncRNA from 1 species
CUUGCAUCUUCUCAACAACUUUUCCUCAGUAUUGUACUAAUCAUCAUCAAAGAAACUUCCCCUUACUGCUCUCUCACGUGCAUCAUGCCGAAGAAAACGUGCCUUUUUUCAUGGGUUUCUAACAACAGAGUUUCUCGUUAUUUUUGGCAAGUAAUUCCCCUCUCCAAAACCUCCCAUCAUAUCAACAACUUAAAAGUCUUCAAGAAACACAAGAUUCAAGGAGACGAAGGAGAAUUAAACGGCACAUUAUUCAAUUUGGAUGUAGCAAGGUUUUUUGUGUAGUGUAAUAUCCCUUAAAAUGUUUUGGAUCAUACCAAUUUCUCCAAGUUUAUUGAAAAAUAUACUGAAAAAACUUCUCCAGGUCGAUGGGUCGUGGUUGGGGAAGUAUGUCUAGGAGUUUGAAAUAGAAUAAAAGAAGAGGUGGAAGAAAAUGAUAUUUUCGUUGUACCAGAUGAGACCAGAGAUCAUCGAGGGAGGUCAAUGACCGGAAUUUUGAUUGGCCCGUUGGAUGGAAAUUUCUUUAGGAUGAAGUAUUAAAAGAAAUGGGCGUAUCGAAGAUAACUGAUGAAAGUUUGUCUGAUAAAAAGUGACCCUCGUAGGACAUUUUCUCCACUAGAGUGAUUGAUGUCUUUACAGCUAACAAAUAUUUACUUUAAUAAUAAUUAGUGAUACGUCACGAUUAUUUCAUCAUGAAUAAUACUCCAUUAAUCCUUAAAAAUGUAAAGACAAAUUUGACUCCUCAUGAAAAUACUCAAUUUUAAUAUCAUUUUCUUUUUUUAAACUCGAGUGUUCAUAACUUCAUUACUACUCGAAUCGUAAAUUCGACUUUUGACACAUCACAACUAGUAAUAAUGUUGUGAACCCUUCGGAUGAUAUCAUCUUUAGAUUAAAAUUAAAAGAAUCAUUUCUCCUCCUCAAUUACUAAUUUUGUGAACGCACUCAAAAUAUUUGAGUAAUAAUUCGUCAAAUUUCUAGUAUUACUCAAAAGGACAGUAAAAACUUGACAUAUUGUCCAAACAUGAACUAGACUCGACACAAAACUCUAACAUUUUGACUCGAAACCAAGAUUAAUAUUUAUGCACUGAUAUUAUGUAAAGGGUAGGGCAAAAAAAAUUGGACUGUUAAUUAAUGUUUAUUUUUUCAUUACUAUGAAAAGGUUUAGUGAUUAUUUUUUUAUAUUUUGUUUCCGCAAUUCUUUUUACAUAAAAAAACUACACUAAUCAUUUAGUCAUUUCAACAUCUUGAGCGAGCAACAAGCAAGAAGGCAGCACAUCUCAGAUCUCCUAGAUGAUAAAGUUGAUGUGAUGAAGAUUACAGACAUUAUUAAGUGUUCUAGGAGGAAAAAAAAAUGGAAAAGACAUCUCCAGUUUGAAAGGAAGUAGAGGGCAUAAUUUAAAGAGGAUACGAAAUUCUUGUUUUGAGAAGAAUAUAAAGGAGGAUCCUUCAAAGUCGAUGAGUAGCCUCGCCAACGACUUUUUUGUGGCUCCUAGGACCAUUGGAAGGCCUACAAAGCACAAAUUGGGAUUAGUUUCUUUUACAAGGACUCCCACACCCCCUUCUGACAGAGGGCAUGAAAGCCAGGAGGCUAUAAAAGUGGAAGAAACCCCCACAUGGAACAAGGCAUAUGGGGCAGGAAGAUUUUUAAAGUUGAUCAAUUCCACAACUGUCGGAACGACUGCUGGCGUGUUGAAACAAAAGAUUAGGUCCAAGGUGUUUACCACACCAAAUAUCCGGCCCAAACAAUUAUCUUCGGCGUUGCGACCACUGAUGGAAAGAAGAUACAUCUGUCAUUUUUCAAGACUGGACAGAAAAUCAGCCGGGAGGCCUACUAUAACGUGCUUAGAUACGUCAUCUUUCUAUGACUGAAGAACAACUACCCGGAGGGUAAUUACGUGUGCACCUGGACGGCUCCCCCUCUUAAACAUCUACCAAAUGCCAAAAGUUUUGUGCAAAUAACAUGGUUCGAUUCUGGUCCAAAGAGAUAUGGCCCCUUCCUCACCAGACUUGUACCCACUGGGAUUUUCUAUGCGGGGCACUUUGGAGAGGGAACCCAACAGGACCUCACACCGAAUGUGGACUCUCUGAAGUCCUCCAUAGUGGCUACAUGGGACACCAUAUGAGAGGAGUUUGUAAUCAACUCCUGCAUGGCCUUCAAGCUGUGAUUGAUAAUAAAGGUGACCAUAUUGGUUCAAAAAAGUUUUGCAAAAACUUUGUCAACAUGUUUUGUCAAGAUUAUUUUUUUGCCUAUCAUGGAAAAUGUAAAAUUAGUGAUUUAUUUCAAAAUCCAUCUCUUGAGUCCAGGUUUUGCUGCCCACCCUGUAUUUAAAUUGUAAUGAAACUAAUAUAAUCAGUAGUCUUAUUUAAAUUUUUGAUAAAUUAGAUGGAAAAAAAUUCUCAAAAUAUGAUAUUGCAAUUUCCUAAUUCGUUAAAUAAAUAUAAUUUAAUUUAAAA